rnacentral:rRNA from 1 species
AGCCACCUACGGGGCGCAGCAGUGGGGGAUAUUGCACAAUGGGGGAAACCCUGAUGCAGCGACGCCGCGUGGGUGAAGAAGCGCCUCGGCGCGUAAGGCCCUGUCAGCAGGGAAGAAAAUGACGGUACCUGAAGAAGAAGCCCCGGCUAACUACGUGCCAGCAGCCGCGGUAAUACGUAGGGGGCAAGCGUUAUCCGGAUUUACUGGGUGUAAAGGGGGCGCAGACGGCGAUGCAAGCCAGGAGUGAAAGCCCGGGGCCCA